rnacentral:snoRNA from 1 species
AGACCAUGAUGAGGACAAAGCCGAAAAAGUUCUUUGUAUCUUUCCCAAGCUUCGUACAAUGAUGCAGAAUCUAGUUGCAUGAAUGAUGUAAUGUCAUUCCUCAUUUU